rnacentral:rRNA from 1 species
CAGUGUGAUUCGUCACACUAUCAUUAACUGAAUCCAUAGGUUAAUGAGGCGAACCGGGGGAACUGAAACAUCUAAGUACCCCGAGGAAAAGAAAUCAACCGAGAUUCCCCCAGUAGCGGCGAGCGAACGGGGAGGAGCCCAGAGCCUGAAUCAGCAUGUGUGUUAGUGGAAGCGUCUGGAAAGGCGCGCGAUACAGGGUGACAGCCCCGUACACAAAAGCGCAUGUGCUGUGAGCUCGAUGAGUAGGGCGGGACACGUGGUAUCCUGUCUGAAUAUGGGGGGACCAUCCUCCAAGGCUAAAUACUCCUGACUGACCGAUAGUGAACCAGUACCGUGAGGGAAAGGCGAAAAGAACCCCGGCGAGGGGAGUGAAAAAGAACCUGAAACCGUGUACGUACAAGCAGUGGGAGCACCCUUUGGGUGUGACUGCGUACCUUUUGUAUAAUGGGUCAGCGACUUAUAUUCUGUAGCAAGGUUAACCGAAUAGGGGAGCCGGAGGGAAACCGAGUCUUAACCGGGCGUUAAGUUGCAGGGUAUAGACCCGAAACCCGGUGAUCUAGCCAUGGGCAGGUUGAAGGUUGGGUAACACUAACUGGAGGACCGAACCGACUAAUGUUGAAAAAUUAGCGGAUGACCUGUGGCUGGGGGUGAAAGGCCAAUCAAACCGGGAGAUAGCUGGUUCUCCCCGAAAGCUAUUUAGGUAGCGCCUCGUGAAUUCAUCUCCGGGGGUAGAGCACUGUUUCGGCUAGGGGGCCAUCCCGGCUUACCAACCCGAUGCAAACUGCGAAUACCGGAGAAUGUUAUCACGGGAGACACACGGCGGGUGCUAACGUCCGUCGUGAAGAGGGAAACAACCCAGACCGCCAGCUAAGGUCCCAAAGUCAUGGUUAAGUGGGAAACGAUGUGGGAAGGCCCAGACAGCCAGGAUGUUGGCUUAGAAGCAGCCAUCAUUUAAAGAAAGCGUAAUAGCUCACUGGUCGAGUCGGCCUGCGCGGAAGAUGUAACGGGGCUAAACCAUGCACCGAAGCUGCGGCAGCGACACUGUGUGUUGUUGGGUAGGGGAGCGUUCUGUAAGCCUGUGAAGGUGUGUCGUGAGGCAUGCUGGAGGUAUCAGAAGUGCGAAUGCUGACAUAAGUAACGAUAAAGCGGGUGAAAAGCCCGCUCGCCGGAAGACCAAGGGUUCCUGUCCAACGUUAAUCGGGGCAGGGUGAGUCGACCCCUAAGGCGAGGCCGAAAGGCGUAGUCGAUGGGAAACGGGUUAAUAUUCCCGUACUUGGUGUUACUGCGAAGGGGGGACGGAGAAGGCUAUGUUGGCCGGGCGACGGUUGUCCCGGUUUAAGCGUGUAGGUGUGUGUUCCAGGUAAAUCCGGUUCACUUUAACACUGAGGCGUGACGACGAGGCACUACGGUGCUGAAGCAACAAAUGCCCUGCUUCCAGGAAAA